rnacentral:rRNA from 1 species
AUACGGAGGGUGCAAGCGUUGUUCGGAAUCAUUGGGCGUAAAGCGCGUGUAGGCGGCUUGGUAAGUCGGGUGUGAAAGCCCGGGGCUCAACCCCGGAAAUGCAUUCGAAACUGCCUCGCUUGAGUCCCGGAGAGGAAGGCAGAAUUCCCGGUGUAGGGGUGAAAUCCGUAGAUAUCGGGAGGCAUACCAGUGGCGAAGGCGGCCUUCUGGACGGUGACUGACGCUGAGACGCGAAAGCGUGGGGAGCAAACAGGAUUAGAUACCCCAGUAGUCC